rnacentral:lncRNA from 1 species
GUCUGUUAAUGCGUAGAUUUCUCUCUUGGUAUAUUUUUUCUGUCUACUGUCCAUCUGUUGUCAUUAUCGUGAAAAUGCGAAUUUUUGUCAUAUCUCGUCCGGUUCCUAUCCGUAGUUUACACAAAAAUGUGCAAUGGCGGCCGUAGAAAAAUUUUACGAAAAAUGAGUCCGAGAAUAAACAUUGUUUGACAAGAGAUUGUGAAUG